GGCGCCGUAGCCAAAUGGCUAAGGCAACGGAUUGCAAAUCCGUCAUUUGUGGGUUCGAGUCCCACCGGCGCCUCCA
rnacentral:tRNA from 1 species